rnacentral:tRNA from 1 species
CAUGAAAUAGUGUAAUUAGAAUCGGAGUUUUGGGUGCUGAUG